GUCGACCGAAUACCAGCAGCGAUCAUCCGUGCGAGUAUAACGCGAUAAUACGCGUUUAGCAUAGAAAUCACGAAACACGUUGGUCGUCGUCGUCGUCGUGUCGUCGUCGAAACGUCGCCAUACGAAACUCGUCUAUAGAUCGAACGCUUGCGGUUGUCGCCGUUGAAUUUCUCUAUUUUUCACUGACUCUGGCAGAUGCAACGAGAAUACGCUUUUUCGCACGACACUGAGAGAACAACGAAACGCACUUUAUUUUAACGCGCCGAUGUAGACGACGACGACGGCGACGGCGACGACGACGACAACGACGAGAAAGAGAAAGAGAGAGAGAGGGAGAGAGAGAGCAAAAGAGAGAGAUGCACACGCACACACGCAUGCAUGAGAAUACCAGCGAAAUGGAAUAAUCAACGUCAAGCCACGCGAAAUACAGAAUUAUAAAACUAUAAGCCCAGCUUGUAAAACUGUCAGCACCAAUUUUUUUCCUUUUUUAUUUCACGAUAAAUAAGAUACUGUGUAUAUGUAAACAUAGAAAAAUAUUACAUAUGUUAAUUAACGUAAUGAAAGAUAAAGAUUUUCUUGCAGAAUAUUUUUAAUAUUUGUUCGCGAUAUUCCUCGCCAUCAUGUUUGAAU